CGUCCCCUGCCUUUUUACAUCUUGCAGAAUGGCUUGAAGCCAUCGACACUUUGCAAAUGCCCCUUGCCACUUCAAAUUUUCCCCUACGUGUCUGAAAGCUAUCAAUACUUUCGGAAAACCUCGCCACGCUUCAUUCCAACGAAUUACACAUUGCGUUAAUGCAAGCCUCCUUCUCUUUCUAUUUAAACUACUCUUCUCGCUGCUUCAAAGCAUCAGUAGCGAAUCCAUUCACUAGAGACACUUGAGCUUCAGAAAAAUUCCGACUUAACAGAGAGACAAGAGGGAGAGGGAGAAAUCGAGAAAGUGUAGGGGAGGGAGGAGAUCCAACCGGUGGGCUAGCCACCAGACAAGGCGGACGACGACGCCAAGCUGGCAGGCCAUGGCCCCACGCCAGCGACGUCACUGGAUAGAGGAUUCCGGCGACUUCUGGGUUCCCAAAACAGAGAAAAAUCCACCUUAUUAUUCUCUUUUAGCAAGGUAAGGAUGAACUCCCGGCUUUUGAGCUCAUCGUCGACAGCUUGCACAUGAGUGGCGCCGUGUUCAUGGGGCAAGAGUGCCGGUGGGGGAUAGCCAUAUACAGCUUCAAAGGGGCUCAAUUUGGUAGAGGUGUGGACAGAAAUGUUGUAUGACCACUCGGCUAGAGGAAGCCAACGUAUCCAGUCCUUCGGCCUAUGUCCUGAAAAGCUUCUGAGGCGAAAAAUUUGAUCGAAGAAGUGAUGGAGAUCAAGGCACCGCUUUGAAGGAUCUCGUUCAAGUACCAAUUGGGCCGGUUACGAGAGCACGAGCAAAGAAGUUCAAGGAUGUGCUCAACGGACUCAUCCAAGAGUUAUGGGCUCAAGCAAAUUCAGGGAGGCCCAUUAAGCAUGAUCCACGUGGGCAACAAAGAAUUGUCACCUUGAUUCAAGUUCUAGAAGGAUCCGGUCAAGGCUAAGAAUUGCUGAGAUUGUUCGUUAAUUUAGAAGGAUCGGAUUGCAUGACUUAUUUUCUUUACCUACCUAAGAUCUUUAUUUAUUUUCUUUCCUUGCUAGGAAUUGAUUUGGACUUUAUUUUCUUUCCUUGCUAGGAAUUGAUUUGUUUACUUAUUAGGAUUAGAACUACUUUCUCCGCAAGUAAUUUUCUUGUAUAAAUAGGUGUACCUACCAUGUAAUCGAGGAGACAUUGAUGAUUCAUAAAACUUGUGAGGUUUUAUUCUCUUUGGUUCUUUGAAGAACUACUCGAACUUAUUGGGAUUUCCCGUGGCGUUCAUAUCGACUUAUCAAACGGACUUCCACCACCGUUUGUGGCGUCUUCCUUAUACCAAGGUUCUUGUUUAUCAUAAACAACGGGUCGAGGUCUUCCAUUCGAAUCUGUCCUUAGAAAUGGUCUUGGGUUCCCUUUCGUUGUUGGGUCUCGUUAUUCUUGAAGGGGUUCACAUCAUUUGUUAUCAGAGCUCAGUUUCUAGUUCAGGUUUGCAUAUCCCUUCACAUCACUAUUUUGAAAUUUUAUUUCAUUAUUCUUAAAAGCCAAUUGCUAAUCAUCAAAAAAAAAAAAAAAAUCGUGUCAAAAUUCAGAUUUGUGAUUUUUGCGAAUCUUUGCUUUAAUUUUUCAGAUUUGAAAUUUUCAGAUUUGAAUUCCAUUCUUAAUUGAUUACGCGAAUCUUUACUUUAAUUUUCAGAUCAAUAAUUUCAAGAUUUGGAUUUUCUUUCCAUAUCUGCAACUUCCAU